UUUCUGGUGGUCCAGUGGUUAGGACUUGGCACUUUCACUGCCAUUGACCUAGGUUCAAACCCUAGUUGGGGAA